CGCCCGCGCCCCGCGCCUCCCGCCGCCGCUCCCUUUCCUGGAUCCCUGCAAAGAGAAGAGGCCAGAUGAUGUGGCAGUGACGUGGUUGCCGGCUCAGGUAGCAGAGCUGGCAGAGAGCGCGCACCCACUUGGCGGGAGCUGUUAGCUGCCCGCGCCCCCUACCUGGCUUCCUAAACCGGAAAGUGCAGUAGCCCGGAGAUGGACUCAGUGGGGACGCCAUGGCCUGACUAAUGGAUCCUGGAAGCGUGGUUCAUAUGCACAAUGGGAUUUUAUACAGCUGUGAAGUAAAAGCGAAAUGACGACAUUCAGAGGAUCCUCACAUUACUGAGAAAUACACAUGACCUGCCCCUGAGAACCACUGAACACAGAUGAGCAUGUAAGAAGACAGAAAAGGAGAAUGCUCCAACAUGACUGCAUUUGAAGCCAGAAGCUACUGUGUUUGCUCUCUGCUCAGGACAACACCAAGUGCUAAAAGAAACUAAGUGAUGGGUGGAGCCUGAAAUUGGGAAGCCUCUAAGACACUGAUUCCCAAAUCACGUUGCCUGUGUAACCAGGGGAUUGAGUGUUGGGACUAAAGCCAUCUCCUUUCCUCUAAAGUGUGGAGGGAUGACCAGUCUGCCCUGGAUACAACCACGUCUGCCCGUAGAGGAAAUGCCUUUGCAUCCCUGGAGCUGCAAAAUUGGAAAGAGUUUCUAUUAAAGCGUGUCAUUCCUGCAGCUUGCUAGCUAGAUGGCAGCCAACUCUAUUUCAUUUUUUCUGUGAUUCUGUCUCUUCUGCCUAUACUAGGUACCCAGCUUACCCAGAUUCUGGGGUGUUAAAGCAACCAGGAGCAGAGCUCUCUUCCUAACAUUAGAACUAAACAGAAGCAAACUAACAGGAAGGCAAUAACAAGGUACAGUAACCAUGGUAACCUAGCACUGAGCAUAUGGGAAAGACUUGAACCAUCGCAUACCACAACACCCCCAUCCCUGUGUGAAUUAAGAGGGAGCUUGGCCCUGUGCUCUGGGAAGAAGAGCAGAAAACCCACUCUGAGCGCUGGCUGGUAGCAUGCGAAGCUGGAAGUCAUUCGCGAGCCUGGGGAGUGUUCCAAGGCUCUUUGCACCCUCCAUCUUGUGUGGACAGGAACCAUGCCUGGAAGCAAGCAGUGCUUCUUAGGAAUCGCAAGGUCAGGAGUCUGCCUGUAACACCUGUGCCCACUCUGCCUGGAGCCAAGGGGCUACAGUUUGUACACGUGUUCCCUGCAGGUCCCCUGUUGAAGGUUUGUGCGCCCACCCCCACACCCCAGGCUUGCAUGACACUGGGAGUUCAUUGAGCCUUUUGAGAGUGGGAGGAAGGGGGUUGUUUGAGCUGUGACCCCAUUCUUCUCCUUUCUGUCUCCUCCUGGGUUCCCGUGAGGUGAGCACCCUUCGCUGCUACGCAGGACCACCAGGAUACAAAGGCAAAUGCAGACUCCUUUACCCAGCAGCCCACACUGAGGCUGACUCUCAAGAAACCACUGACUUUUCUUAAAGCUGGUUCACCUCAGGUGUUUGCUACAGUCAUGGAGAAUUACCAAACAAAGCAGGGCUGGGAUCCUCGGCAAAAACUGACUGUGUUGGAGAUGGCCACUGGGCCCUGGGGGCAAGACAUCUGGGAUUUCAGGGAAGAUGCCUCCUUCUCAAACGCACAGGCGCCAUUUAGACCGAGGCAAAGACUGAAGGCAGGGGAACUAAGACUAAAACCAU